rnacentral:lncRNA from 1 species
AUCAAGUCCGAGGAUGGCUCGAUCAACCCAACCAUCAUUAGAUAGUUUAACAGAGUCAUUAUAUGAUGAAUGAUAAUUCCAUCACUCAGAGAGGACACCAGACGGAUAGUGCCUGCAAUGUCAAUCAAAAAUAAUGGACACAUUAUCACUCACCUUAAUGGGAGGCUAUGAUCUAGUUAUCACCAUAACUAGCUCAUUUUAGAGACCUAAUAAUUUAGAGGGUUUAAUCAAUUUAGAGA